rnacentral:rRNA from 1 species
UGGGGAAUAUUGGACAAUGGGCGAAAGCCUGAUCCAGCCAUGCCGCGUGUGUGAAGAAGGCCUUUUGGUUGUAAAGCACUUUAAGCGAGGAGGAGGCUACUUAGAUUAAUACUCUAGGAUAGUGGACGUUACUCGCAGAAUAAGCACCGGCUAACUCUGUGCCAGCAGCCGCGGUAAUACAGAGGGUGCGAGCGUUAAUCGGAUUUACUGGGCGUAAAGCGUGCGUAGGCGGCUUUUUAAGUCGGAUGUGUAAUCCCUGAGCUUAACUUAGGAAUUGCAUUCGAUACUGGGAAGCUAGAGUAUGGGAGAGGAUGGUAGAAUUCCAGGUGUAACGGUGAAAUGCGUAGAGAUCUGGAGGAAUACCGAUGGCGAAGGCAGCCAUCUGGCCUAAUACUGACGCUGAGGUACGAAAGCAUGGGGAGCAAACAGG